CUACGGGGUGCAGCAGUGGGGGAUAUUGCACAAUGGAGGAAAAGCUGAUGCAGCAACGCCGCGUGAGGGAAGGACGUUUUCUUCCUGUAAACCUCUGGGGGAGGGGAAGAAAAAAAUGACGGUAGCCGAAGAGGAAGCCACGGCUAACUACGUGCCAGCAGCCGCGGUAAUACGUAGGUGGCAAGCGUUGUCCGGAUUUACUGGGUGUAAAGGGUGCGCAGGCGGGACUGCAAGUUGGAUGUGAAAAUCUGAGGCUCAACCUCAGAACUGCAUCCAAAACUGUGGUUCUUGAGUGGAGUAGAGGUAAGCGGAAUUCCGAGUGUAGCGGUGAAAUGCGUAGAUAUUCGGAGGAACACCAGUGGCGAAGGCGGCUUACUGGGCUCUAACUGACGCUGAGGCACGAAAGCAUGGGUAGCAAACAGGAUUAGAUACCCUUGUAGUC
rnacentral:rRNA from 1 species